rnacentral:misc_RNA from 1 species
UCUCCGUUGGUGAACCAGCGGAGGGAUCAUUACAGGACUCGCAAGACUCCUACAACCCUGUGAACUUAACUAUAAGCACGUUGCUUCGGCGGGUGUCUCGGAGGGGGUUCUCCCUCCCCGAGACGCUAAACCCGCCGGCAGCCUACUAUACUCUGUCUCUUUUCGUUGGCAUCUCGAGUACAAUCAAACAAGUUAAAACUUUCAACAACGGAUCUCUUGGUUCUG